rnacentral:rRNA from 1 species
GAUGAACGCUGGCGGCGUGCCUAAUACAUGCAAGUCGAGCGAACAGACGAGGAGCUUGCUCCUCUGACGUUAGCGGCGGACGGGUGAGUAACACGUGGAUAACCUACCUAUAAGACUGGGAUAACUUCGGGAAACCGGAGCUAAUACCAGAUAAUAUAUUGAACCGCAUGGUUCAAUAGUGAAAGACGGUUUUGCUGUCACUUAUAGAUGGAUCCGCGCCGCAUUAGCUAGUUGGUAAGGUAACGGCUUACCAAGGCAACGAUGCGUAGCCGACCUGAGAGGGUGAUCGGCCACACUGGAACUGAGACACGGUCCAGACUCCUACGGGAGGCAGCAGUAGGGAAUCUUCCGCAGUGGGCGAAAGCCUGACGGAGCAACGCCGCGUGAGUGAUGAAGGUCUUCGGAUCGUAAAACUCUGUUAUUAGGGAAGAACAAAUGUGUAAGUAACUGUGCACGUCUUGACGGUACCUAAUCAGAAAGCCACGGCUAACUACGUG